GUACAGUAGCAAGGAUUAAUUACUAAGCAGUUUGGAUUUCUCAACAAACUGGUAUGUAGUUAUUCGAACAUUUAUAUUUUAAAAAGUUGAAGCUGGAAGAGAAAAUACUUGCUCCCAUAGUCCAAUUUUAGAAGUUAAUGCCCUCAUCUUGAGGGAGUUAAAAAUAAAUGGCUAGGUAGUGCCUGAUGUCAGGGCGUACUCCAGAGAAAGUUAGGCAUAUCGGAACAAAGGCAUACCACUCAAAAAGGAUUUAAUGGGAAUUUGUUAUUGCAUAAAACAAUUUUGCAAACAAUGGAGAGGAGAAGGGUAUGGGUGGUGGGGAUUUGGAACUUUACCAAUGGAUCAAUGGGAUCUGUUUCAGGAAGGGAAUCAAAGUUGUGUUUUUAAAAAGCAAUAAAUAAAUGUUUCCCGCCUGUUACGGCUCUACUGGGUUAGUGGGGAUAUAAGUAGUAGGAUUAUGGUAUUAUAACUAUAAGGUCUUUUUAUUUUCUACACCAAUGAAAUUAUUAUCUUGCCAGAGAACUAUUUUAGAUCACCCCCACCCCUUUUAAAUUAAAAGUUCAUCACAAACUCAACUGAAAAAUGGGGAGGGGUGUAGGAAGGGGGACACACAGGCAUUUUACUUUUUAUCAAGCUAUGAGUACUGGGACCUCAUUUUUAUAUAAAAAGCACUGGGUGCAGAUAGGAUGUACACUGUGGAUAACAUGUGCACAACAAACCUGCUUUCCCCAAAGAUCAGACUUCUUGCGAUAAGGAAAGUGAUGGGGAAAUGUGCUGGAAAGUGUGGGACGACAUGUCACCUGGAAGCACCCAGAGAAAAUGGGUGAUUUCAGCUGGGCUGUGUUGUCCAAGCAGAAGCGGUUUUGUUUUCUUUGUUCACACAAUACAGCUUUGAAGGUAUACAUUUAGUCACACUACACUCUGUCAACCUUUUCUCACUGACCUUACCUCAACAGAUUAUUCUAAAAGAAGUAUAAGGGCAGCUCUAGGAAGACGCAGAAGGAAGCCAGGUUUUGUAAUCUGCACCACCCUUCACUGCACCAGAGGUAAAUCUGAGGUAUGCAGAUUUCAGACACAUCUGACAUACAGCUAGGAAAAAGGAACAAUCCCUUCCUUCUAUCCUAUUAACUCAUCUUUUAUUUUAAACUGCAGUUCUAAAACUUUAUGACAGAAACAACGUGGCAAAAUGAAAUUCAUCCAGGUAUUGAGUUCUAAAGGGUUUUUCUUGCUAUCAAUAGGAAUAUGAUGUCAUUGUUAUAGCUUAGUAAUGUAUAAUUAAUUAGCCAGUAAAAUGUGUUUUAAAUGUGUCGAACCUGCAGGUAAAAGUGCUGAUUCAUUUCUGCUCAAUAUCAUGAACAGACUUUUCCUCCUUUUCUUACACAUAGCACCACUUCGUAGCAGGAGUUCUGUUAGGCUCAUACUAAUCAUAAGAACAAUUUCUUUACAAUUGCCUUCUGUUCUAGUAGGCUUUUGUCUGUUAUGCAGCUUGAAAAUAAAUUUGGCACUCAAAACUGUAUGUUUUUACAAAAGAAGCAAUGUUCCCAUUAUAAUCAAUUUACUAUUCAACAGAAUUUUCAUCUUUAAUAUUUAUAUUUCUCAUAGAUUCUCUGGAUUCAUCUUUUCUAGAGGCCGAAGGCUAGGUUUUGUUCAUUCUUGAGCACUGUGGGAUAAAGUCUUUUUUUUUAAAAAAAAGACCUCUUCCUAGAUGUCUCAAAGCAGAUGUCGGGAACCUUUGACCCUCCAGAUAUUGUGAACUACAACUCCGAAUAGUUUUAAGAAACAUGGCUACUGGCUAGGGAUUAAAGGAGUGGUAGUUCAGUAACAUCUGGAAUAUUCUUUUGCCUCAAAAAUAUUAUCAAAGGCUAAAGUGGCAGGGAAAACCUACGGUAGGGCUGUGACUUACAAGACAAUCCUAACCAUGUCUUCUCAGAAACUGAGUAAGUCCUAUUGAACUCAACUGGGUUUACUCCUAGGUAUGUGGGGUUAGGAUUGUAGCUUUAGUAAACUUUUCUAACUAGCUUGGUUAGACAUUCUCUCUGGAGCUUCUUUUUCCUAAGGCUCAAUAGCAUUGCUGGUUUUAUUCAUUGGUCCCCAGAGCCUUUAGAAUCCCUCUGGGCCUUUUUCUUUGGGUGAACAGCAAAUGGUAUCCAGGACUUCAACUAAAAAGAGACUGAACUAAAAAUACUCUCUCCACCCCCAUCCUCCUUGUAAUCCUAAAGUAGCCUGGCUGCUACUAACAAAAAUAGAGAAAAUGUAUGCAUGACCACCCAGAACUCAUUUGUUUUAGUGCAUGGAUUCUAUAACAUAUUUAUUUAACCCCCCAUUUUCCAUAAAAUGAAUGCUCACGCCUUCUUUUAGUUCAAAAAGAGAGAGGACUCUAUAAUACAGUUACAAAUAAAUUCUGUGUAAGACGGGCUGGAUCCUGACAAGAUUGGAACUUUGUCUGCACAAUGGAGCUUUCCUGGCUCCUCCCCUCCUGCCAUGAGACCUCCUUGCAUUGCCCCCCCCAACUGCUCCUGAGUGCUUACGGGCUCAAAUAUUCCCAGAGCAGUACAUAACAAUCUAUUAAGAUCGAUCAGUAACAAUAACCAAAAAACUACCAACAGAGAAAAAUUAAAAGCUCUCUGCACAACGAGGCAUGGAGGCUGCAGAAGGAUUGGGAAAUUAAGUAAAGGCUGAUCCAUUACAGGGCAAAUGGAUGGUUGCCGCACCAAUCUCAGACAAUUGCCAGCCCUCACUUGUCUGCCAUCUUACCAUCAGUCAGUGGGUGGCUCUGACUGUAAUUGGCUUGGAUACGCCUACUGCUGGUCUCCCUGCAAGAACUUGGCAAGGCUGCAUUGUCAGAGGGCAACUGGUUUUCUUCUCAUGCAAGACAUCUCCAAAUCCAAGCCAAUUUCUUUCACAAUAAGUGGUGGAAAACAUAAGCUAUUGCCAUAGUUACUGCUAUUUAUGAUACUUUUUCGGGUUAUUAUAUAUAUUUUUGCAAUAGAACUGGAUACCAACUUUUCAUGUCAAAAAGGAGGAGAGCAAUAAAUGUAUACAAACAUUAAUGUAGUAUGUUUUUUUCUAAAUUCUCAUACAUGUAUUACACUUAUAUUGCACAAAUCGUUUCUGACAAACUAUAGCAGUUUUCUCAUCUUUAGAGCUGGAAUCAUCUUUUGAGUUUUCCACUCUAUGUUUUGCAGUUCAUUCUGCUGCUCACACUGAAAAACAGCCCAAUAACAGAAACCUAGUUGGUUAAUAAAUCUACCCAGCUCUUGGGACUAUGGAACAAAACUAUUUUGUAUGCUGAACUAAUGAAGCAAUGAUGAAAAGCAUUGGUUCUGGUGGAAGUGUAAUGACUCGAACAAGGGAGUCCUGAGCACAAUGCAUCUAAAUGGACAGAAAUUACUGUUAAUGGGUCACUCUAUUGAUUUUCAUCCAUGAAUGCUAGAGGAUGGCUAGAGACCAAGUAUCACUGAGUUGGUAAAGUGGCGUUUUGGCUGUGUCACUCCAGACGCUAGGUGUGGGCACAGAUGACAGAACGCUCUUCCUAAUGCGCACAAAAUGCUACCCAUGUAGAAAAGUAGCAUGCGGGUUAUCUAUAUGGAAAAGCUUGCUUGGAUGGGAAGGACAAUCAGUAAAGUGAACCUCCAUCAGCAGCACUGAAGUAUUACAGCUAAUGCACAAAAUUAGGAAUUCUAUGAAACUAAGCCCAUGUUUCUUACAGCCAGUUUCCUACUGAUUAUUUGCAAAAAAUAUAGUGUGAUAUGACGGUGAAUCCAGUGUUGCUGUUUUGGAUGGCACUGAGAUUUGGAUGGAGAAAGAGACAAAUUUGGAGUCAGUAUGGAUGGUAGCUAACAUGAAUGAGAAAAUGAGAUAGCCUUUAAUUACAGGUGAUUUAAAAUGAGUUGCUUUUUUGACCUAAAGUUAACCCAUGACAUCUGGUACAUUUCAGAACUGAAAUGGGACAUAAAUAACCUAAGAGGAGCCCAAUGGGAUCAGACCAGUGGCUCAUCUAGUCCAGCAUUCUGUUCUCACAGAAGUCAAUCAGAUGCCACCUUAUGAUCAGAAAUUUGAUUUAAAGAAUAUUCACCAAACUCUGAUUUUUGUUUUGCACAAAC